rnacentral:tRNA from 1 species
AGGAUUUAAGUUAAGAAAUAAACUAACAGCCUUCAAAGCUGUAAAUGGAAUGGUUCUAAGCCUUAU